UUUAAGAAUGUGAAAUGUCAGAAUAAUAGUAGUGAUUUUAUUUCAGCUUUUAUUUCUUUCAUCACAUUCUCAGUUGGUCAGAAGUUUACAUACACUCAGUUAGUAUUUGCUUGCAUUUUCUUUAAAUUGUUUAACUUGGGUCAAAUGUUUCGGGUAGCCUUCCACAAGCUUCCCACAAUAAGUUGGGUGCAUAUAUCCCCAUAAUUUUUUAUUUUGUGAAGUGCACAAGUCCCUCCGGCAGGAAAGCAUCCCCACCACAUGAUACUGCCACCCCUGUACUUCACGGUUGGGAUGGUGUUCUUCGGCUUGCAAGUCUCCCCCUUUUUCCCUCCAAACAUAAUGAUGGUCAUUAUGUCCAAACAGUUCUAUUUUUGUUUCAUCAGACCAGAGGCCAUUUCUCCAAAAAGUAAGAUCUUUGUCCCCAUGUGCAGUUGCAAACCGUAGUCUGGCUUUUUAUGGCUGUUUUGGAACAGUGGCUUCUUCCUUGCUGAGCGGCCUUUCAGGUUAUGUCGAUAUAGGACUUGUUUUACUGUGGAUAUAGACUCUUUUGUACCUGUUUCCUCCAGCAUCUUCACAAGGUCCUUUGCUGAUGUUCUGGGAUUGAUUUGCACUUUUUGCACAAAAGUAUGUUCAUCUCUAGGAGACAGAGCGCGUCUUCUUCCUGAGUGGUUUGACUGCAGCGUGGUCCCAUGGUGUUUAUACUUGUGUACUAUUGUUUGUACAGAUGAACGUGGUACCAUCAGGCAUUUGGAAAUUGCUCCCAAGGAUGAACCAGCCUUGUGGAGGUCUACAAUUUCUUUUCUGAGGUCUUGGCUGAUUUCUUUUGAUUUUCCUAUGAUUUCAAGCAAAGAGGCACUGAGUUUGAAGCUUUUCUGACUGGAACGGACAGACUGCCCAGAGGACGAAGUCUCUCCAAACUGCAGAUGCAAAUCACGUCUUUGGACAGUUCUGACGCUGAUGAAUAUUAUCCGAAAGCACAAACCUGCUCUGUGACGUUAUGCCUCCCUAACUACAGCAGUAUCGACACACUACAGGAGAAGCUUCUCCAUGCUAUCACCCACUGUGAUGUGUUUGGAGAUGCUUGAAAUGGGAAGCAUGUUACUAGUAGCCUAGCAGUUUGUUUUUAUCUACGUCUGUCAAUAUUAUGAUUUUAUUUAGUCAAUGAAGCACAUUCAGAGCUAACAACUGAAAAUAUUAAGACAUUAAGAGCAGUCUUUAUAAAGAUAAACUUUCAUAAAUGCUUAAUGUUUUUUCCAGUGAAACCACUGUUAAUAGAAACAUUUACGCCUCCUCCGGACCCCUCGUAGCCUAAUGUGCUGUUGAUUGGUCAAAUAAUUAUGAACUAAAUGAAUGAAAGCCAAUCAUACUUGAAUGAUCAAACAGUGGAGUAAAUUGAGAGAAACUGAGAGCUCUUUAUCUCUUUACAGAUUGGCUGUGGGUAUGAAUUCUUAGGAACCCUCUUUCGGAAAUGUUUGAAUUUUAGCUAACCUUAACCCCUUUUCUAUCCUUAACCUAAUUCUCCUAAUCUGCUACAUUAAUUAUCCCAAUUUGCUGUGUAAAUUCUCCUAAUCUCCUACGAAAAGUGAAAUUCUAGUCAAUUCUGACAUAAACUGUAGGAUAUUCCAUCUUGACAAAAAAAAAACUUUUCCUGGUAGCUAAAGGUCCGAAGAUUCUGAGCAAGUGCGUAAUUCUCUACCUUACGCACAGCCUCUGCUACAGUUUGGCUGCCCAGAGAACAGGAUACUCAGGUGAAUGGUGCUUGUUUAAUAAAGUUAGAUCAAAGCUGAAUCAAUGUCUGCAAGAUCACGUGAUAGUAUUCUACGUAACAGAAUGAAAUAUAAUAGCAUCAGGGCUGUAGCUACAUAAGAGGACAAAUGAAAAUAAGAUCAGCUUUAAUAUUGCUGAUAGAUUGAGGCUUCUGUCAAUGGGGCGGCAGGGUAGCCUAGUGGUUAGAGCGUUGGACUAGUAACCGGAAGAUUGCGAGUUCAAACCCCCGACCUGACAAGGUACAAAUCUGUCGUUCUGCCCCUGAACAGGCUGUUGACCCACUGUUCCCAGGCCGUCAUUGAAAAUAAGAAUUUGUUCUUAACUGACUUGCCUAUUUAAAUAAA